ACCCGCUGAACUUAAGCAUAUCAAUAAGCGGAGGAAAAGAAACCAACAGGGAUUACCUCAGUAACGGCGAGUGAAGCGGUAACAGCUCAAAUUUGAAAUCUGGCUCUUUCAGGGUCCGAGUUGUAAUUUGUAGAAGAUGCUUCGGGUGUGGUCCCGGUCUAAGUUCCUUGGAACAGGACGUCAUAGAGGGUGAGAAUCCCGUAUGUGACUGGGUACCUAUGCUCAUGUGAAGCUCUUUCGACGAGUCGAGUUGUUUGGGAAUGCAGCUCAAAAUGGGUGGUAAAUUUCAUCUAAAGCUAAAUAUUGGCCAGAGGCCGAUAGCGCACAAGUAGAGUGAUCGAAAGAUGAAAAGCACUUUGGAAAGAGAGUUAAACAGUACGUGAAAUUGUUGAAAGGGAAGCGCUUGCAACCAGACUUGCACGUUGUUGAUCAUCCGAGAUUUUUCCCGGUGCACUCGAUUUCGUUCAGGCCAGCAUCGGUUUCAGUGGUUGGAUAAAGGCCUUGGGAAUGUAGCUUCUUUCGGGGAGUGUUAUAGCCCUCGGUGCAAUGCAGCCUACUGGGACCGAGGACCGCGCUUCGGCUAGGAUGCUGGCGUAAUGGUUGUAAGCGACCCGUCUUGAAACACGG
rnacentral:rRNA from 1 species